ensembl:lncRNA MIR924HG MIR924 host gene
GGGAUUCGAACGGCAGGCGGGAAGUGCUCUAGCAGGGGAGUCUGACCUUGUGAGGGAAUACCUGUGUCCCCCCUUUUUUCCCCUUUUUACCCAAUAAAACCCUGCCUUACUCACCCUUUAAAUCAUCUGCGAGCCUGAAUUUUCAUGGCCGUGGGACGGACAAGAACUUUAUCUUCAGCUGAACUAAGAAAAAGUCCUGCAACAUUUUUGGCGCGCAAUGUGGGGGCACCAGAAGCGGGCACCGUUGAGCUGUUGCAACUGUUCUGCUGCAAAAACUUUACACCAGAUCUGUCUACUUCUCUUCACCUCCACUGAUGACCAAUUCAGCCAUCAUCACUCAUCUCUCAGCUGGGCAACUUCAAGACCAUUUCAACCGGUCUCCAGAUUUCUAAUCUUGACAACCUACCAGCCAUUCACCAUAGCAGCAGUUACUUAGAAACAUGUAACUUCCCUGCCUGAACCUUACCAAUGACUUCUUAUUUCCCAUAGAAUAAAAUCCAAUGCCAUAUUUUGCGCA